AUGGGGUGUUCAGGGAGGGGUAGUAUCUCUGGUAUGGAGGGCUUGUCGUGCCCUCCUAGGGCAGCUCUCCAGCCUCUGACCCUCACCUGACACCCAGCUCUCACUUGUGACUCCCAGUAGCUGCUAGCAUGCGGCAGCGGCCACACCCCGGGCAACGGCUUCGACAGGCAGGCUAAACCUUGUGAGGGUAGCCAUCGGGUUGUCGUGGACCCCUGGUGAACCAGGGCUUUGCUCACCCAGCAUGUGAAGACUGCUUCGGCGGAACAGGCGGAAGAAACCAACAAAAAGGUUCAACGGCUAAGAGGGCGACGCAGCAAAGCACUGUGGAGUGCUUAGGGCAUGUUGGAGCACAAAGGACAACACGGCCAUCCAAUGCAGCUGAGGAAGUCUCCAGCUGCCCUGAAAAGGACGAGCCGGCCACUCCAAUAGGAUCCCACUGAUGCUGUGAAAUCAGCCAGAGACCUUUGUAAGGGAAGAAUGUGGCUUCCAGCUGUCGAGCAAAGUCUGCAAGGAGAAACACAUUUCACUAGGAGGCUGUUCAAGCAAGAACACAAUAAUGGGCAUGAACAUAGCAUUUUGCUCAGCAAGUGAAUUCUGCCCCCUCCCUGCACUUUCUACCCUGAGAUACCAUGCAAAAAGUCCCUUUUCAUUCCCAAAUGUCUAGAACUAUGUUCCUGUAAAUACCAAGGAAUUAGAUGGAGAAAAGAGAGCAAGAAGGAUAUUGGGUGGCAAGAAGAAAAGGAAGAAUAAACUUGGAAGGGACCCAGAAAGGUGUCUCACAGGAAGUGGCACCUGAGCCAGGCCUUGCAGAGAACUAGGGAUUCCCAGAGAUAGAGAGAUAAAGAGGAAGAGCAUUCCUAGUAGGGGGAAAAGGUAGGGAGGUGGUAAAUGGAAUAUCAAAGUAGGAAAAAAGGAGUAGGGCAAUUUGGCUAAACUGUGGAUUGCAGGGUAGGUUAUAAGAGAAAGGGAAGGUGAGCUGGAGUCAGACUGUGAAUGACUCAAAUGUUAAACAAUAGAGUUUAUUUUUAUAUUUUUUAUAUUAUAUAUAUAUAAUAAAUAUAUAUUAUAUUUUUAUAAUGAUGAUUUAUAAUCAUCAUCAUUAUUAUUAUUAGGUCUUAGAGGUGGCUCACUGUAUUGAGAAUGAGAGCUGAAGAUGGGAAGUCUUGGCUUCAAAUGUAGCUGAAGACACUGCCUAGCUAUGUGGUCCUGGACAAGUCACGCAGCCCCCAUUGCCUAGCUCUUACAGCUCUUCUGCCUUGGAACUGCUAGUAUUGAUUCUAAGACAGAAGAAAAGUUUUAGAGAGCACCUGAUGCUUCUUAAGAAAGCUAGAGAACAGCAAACAGAGGAUUGGUGAUGGGAGGAGAUAGCCAGGAGCUGGACAGAGCCAAGGUGCCAGUGAUUACCCAGGAACCUUUGGGGCCUGGAGGAGGUCAUUCCAAGUUAAUCUAAUAGAAACAGGCACACAGUGACUCUCCCAGGUAAGGCUUGCCCAGAGAUCCAAGGGCAGGAGGAACAGGAAUAAGGUGCUGGACUGGCGGAGACCCACGAGAGAACUGAUUGGGUACAGUGGGUCCUGCCAAGGUAGGCACCUCCAUUGCCAGGAAGGACACACAGUGCCUUUGCCCACAGCUUCUAUCUGUCCCUCACAAACAGCCAAGCCAGUGCCUGAGGCAAUACUCAAAAAUGAGAAGCUUGUCUCUUCUCUUUUCCAGCUUCCCUUUUCUUAGCCAUUCCAUAGCCCUUUAGUGGUCUUGCUCCCUAUUCGAGCCCCCACAUCCUCCUCCUCUCAAACUGGGAAGGAUCAGCUGCCAUAGUGACAUUUGGACUGAAACUCCUCCUCCCAGAGUGCUAAUUUCAGCAGCACAAGCACUUGAAGCAUUUUCUAAUUAUAUAAUUAAAGGCUGGAUCUUCCUCAAAAUCAAGUGGAGAAGAGAAAUAAAGAUGCUCUGUCAAAAACAA